CAGUCGCCGCGGGAAUACAGAGGGUGCAAGCGUUAAUCGGAAUUACUGGGCGUAAAGCGCGCGUAGGUGGUUCGCCAAGUUGGAUGUGAAAUCCCCGGGCUCAACCUGGGAACUGCAUCCAAAACUGGCGAGCUAGAGUAUGGUAGAGGGUGGUGGAAUUUCCUGUGUAGCGGUGAAAUGCGUAGAUAUAGGAAGGAACAUCAGUGGCGAAGGCGACCACCUGGACUGAUACUGACACUGAGGUGCGAAAGCGUGGGGAGCAAACAGGAUUAGAUACCCGGGUAGUCCCUGUCUCUUAUAC
rnacentral:rRNA from 1 species